GGUAAGUCCAAAUCGAUUAUCGGCCCACGGUACCCCCGGACCCCUGACUCAUCCCAGAACCGUGGCCUAUAGCACACCAAUUUAGCCCCAAAAUGCCCCUGUUCAUGCCGUUUUGCCUGUUUGACCAUCCAAAUGGCCCCACCUACACAAAUAGGGAGUAAUAGGACACUCCCAGCCUGUUUGGCAUGCUCAUAUAAAUUCUCAGCCUAUGGUACCCCUGGACCCC
rnacentral:lncRNA from 1 species